GAUGAACGCUGGCGGCGUGCCUAACACAUGCAAGUCGAACGAGGUAAUUAAGAGGAAGUUUUCGGAUGGAAUCGUAUUUACCGAGUGGCGGACGGGUAAGUAACGCGUGGAUAACCUGCCUCAUACAGGGGGAUAACAGUUAGAAAUGACUGCUAAUACCGCACAAGCGCACAGUGCCGCAUGGUACGGUGUGAAAAACUCCGGUGGUAUGAGAUGGAUCCGCGUCUGAUUAGCUAGUUGGCGGGGUAACGGCCCACCAAGGCGACGAUCAGUAGCCGACCUGAGAGGGUGACCGGCCACAUUGGGACUGAGACACGGCCCAAACUCCUACGGGAGGCAGCAGUGGGGGAUAUUGCACAAUGGGGGAAACCCUGAUGCAGCGACGCCGCGUGAGUGAAGAAGUAUUUCGGUAUGUAAAGCUCUAUCAGCAGGGAAGAAAAUGACGGUACCUGACUAAGAAGCCCCGGCUAACUACGUGCCAGCAGCCGCAGUAA
rnacentral:rRNA from 1 species